rnacentral:rRNA from 1 species
UUUGGUGGCGAUGGCGGAAGGGUUCCACGCGUACCCAUCCCGAACACGACCGUUAAGCCUUCCAGCGCCGAUGGUACUUGGACCGCAGGGUCCNAAACCACUGUCGAUGUAAUCGAUG